CAGUAGCCGCGGGAAAACGAAGGGUGCAAGCGUUACUCGGAAUUACUGGGCGUAAAGCGUGCGUAGGUGGUGGUUUAAGUCCGUUGUGAAAGCCCUGGGCUCAACCUGGGAAUUGCAGUGGAUACUGGGUCACUAGAGUGUGGUAGAGGAUAGUGGAAUUUCCGGUGUAGCAGUGAAAUGCGUAGAGAUCGGAAGGAACAUCUGUGGCGAAGGCGACUAUCUGGGCCAACACUGACACUGAGGCACGAAAGCGUGGGGAGCAAACAGGAUUAGAUACCCCGGUAGUCCCUGUCUCUUGUAA
rnacentral:rRNA from 1 species